rnacentral:lncRNA from 1 species
GAAACAUUGGAGUUUAUUCCUUGCUUUCCAUCCCUUGGAUUUGUUCCUUAUGCUCUGCUGAUACCUUUCCUUCCGCAAGCCAUCAUGAUGUCCACUUGUUAGUCCUGAAGGGCAAGUGAGUGACACAGCAGGAAUUCAGAACUAAAUUGCAGGAGCAGAGCCUGGUAAGAGAGGGAAGGAAAUAAAGUUGUCAGGGAUUUCAGACUCUUUCCACUCUCUUGACUUGAGCUGGGAGUGCUACUCCCAGUACUGGGGAUUGAGGCAGCCCCUUCCUCGGCCUUCUAUGGGAGGCUGGCUGUCCAAGGCACAGGGGUGCCAAAGGCAGAAAUUAAGGGUAACCCAUUGCCUGGGGUUGGUGCUUUUGGGGCAGUGAGGCUGUGCUGCUGAGACAUAGUUUGUUUGAUAUAUAUAUAUAUGUGUGUGUGUGUGUAUAUGUGUGUAUAUAUAUAUAUAUAUAUAUAUGUGUGUGUGUGUGUAUAUAUAUGUGUAUAUAUAUAUAUUUCUGUCCUUACUCUGCUGGAAUUACAGAGUGUACUCAAAAGCAUUUAAUAAAUGUUUUGUUGUCUUUUAGUCUCCUGACAGGGAGGUGGUGGUGGGACACCAUUAUCUGGAUUGGUCCAUGGGAGGAAAUGAUGGAUUAUUAGCCCUGUGAUCUGUUUUUCAAAGGCCUCCAAAGAAGGCAGUACUUCCCCAGAAGCAAGGGAAGGACUUGCCAUUCUUAUUUUGGUAUUUAUGUCUCCUAGGCAUAUCCAGUUAGCUACCAUCUCUGCUCAUUUCUGUUGAUUUCUUUUAGAGAUUGUUAUUCCCUCAGUAGCUUCCCACCUUCAAGGAAUACUCUUUCCAGUGGUUCUGGCCUGAGGCUCCAGCUCUGUCCUGUGGGGUUUUGUUCUGUGCUGCAUCUUCUGUGCUGGUCCUUGCUCACACAGCAAUGUGCUGCAAAUGAGAGUCAGAGAAGGCAUUUCUCUGCUUGGUAAUUUAUGCUCAUGUCUCUCUUGCUGUAUAUAUAAUUCUACAGGACACCAGCCAGUGAAGAGACACAUCCCCAGUUUAUGUGAAUCACAGUGCUUUGGGACUGAAGUUACAGACCAGCACUGCUCAGUGCAGUCCACUGACCAAAAGUUCCUGAAUCUAGAAGCAAAUAUAUAGUUUUUAUGUCUCAGCAUAUUUGGAGAGGUGUGUGAAGCACUGGAGAAACCACUUGAAUUCAGAGGACUUCAAAAAGAAAACUAAAGUGUAGAAUGAGGCCAAGGUGAGCAAAAAGCACAGAAGAGGCAGGUGAGGACUGUGCAAGUGCCAUAGCUCAGCCCUUCAGUGGCUGUGGGCUGCAGGGGUGCCCUCAGUGCAGGAAAGGGGAAGCUUCCAGUGCCCUGAGGGCUCAGUGCAUGGCAUUCACCUUGCUGGGCUUUUUCACCAGAGUCCUGAAGCCCUUAGCCUGGGUAACUCAGGAUGACAGAGUCUGAAAUAGGGAGAAAGGACAAAGAGGACAGGGAGCAGACUUUUUCAUUCUCCUUUCAUUUCUUAAGCCAUUAUUUUGUGUGGACAAAGCAGCAAGUUUGCCAAAACCCUAAGAAAUACAGAGUUUUUGGACUUGAGCAAUAGUACCAUUCUUGCCAUAAAUCACAUUAUGUCCCAUCUCGUUGGAGCUGUUGAAUGGUUAUGUCCUGCAAGAAGGUGAAUGAGGGAGCAAAGCUCCCAAACUCUUCCAGCUCGAUCAGAGCAAUCAGUAUACCUCACAAAGAUAAUUAUUCUGAUAUAAGGCCUGCUUCUCUGUUUGCAAUGUUAUUUGCUUGCAGUGACCAAAAUGCCUUUGAGAACUUUGAGAAAUUUAAACUCAUGUAGUAAUACAUGUAAACUCAUGUAAUAAUGUCUUUAUCCC